rnacentral:misc_RNA from 1 species
UCACCAUUCAAGCCUGGCUUGGUAUUGGGUGCCGUCCCGCCCUCUGCGGCGCGGACGCUCCCUAAAACUAUCGGCGGUGCAGCACCGGCUUCGAGCGUAGCAGACCUUCGCUUUCGGGGACCCGGUGAGGCAGCGGCCGCGACGCACAACCUUUU